rnacentral:rRNA from 1 species
GAUCCUGGCUCAGGAUGAACGCUGGCGGCGUGCUUAACACAUGCAAGUCGAACAAGCACCUUGAUUUGAUUCUUCGGAUGAAGAUCUUGGUGACUGAGUGGCGGACGGGUGAGUAACGCGUGGGUAACCUGCCUCAUACAGGGGGGAUAACAGUUAGAAAUGACUGCUAAUACCGCAUAAGACCACAGCACCGCAUGGUGCAGGGGUAAAAACUCCGGUGGUAUGAGAUGGACCCGCCG